GACGAACGCUGGCGGCGUGCCUAACACAUGCAAGUCGAACGGAGCAGAUCCCUUCGGGGGUUUGCUUAGUGGCGAACGGGUGAGUAACGCGUGAGGAACCUGCCUUUCAGUGGGGGACAACAGUUGGAAACGACUGCUAAUACCGCAUAAGCCCACAGCACCGCAUGGUGCAGCGGGAAAAGGAUUUAUUCGCUUUGAGAUGGACUCGCGUCCAAUUAGCUAGUUGGUGAGGUAACGGCCCACCAAGGCGACGAUUGGUAGCCGGUCUGAGAGGAUGAACGGCCACAUUGGGACUGAGACACGGCCCAG
rnacentral:rRNA from 1 species